rnacentral:rRNA from 1 species
UUUGUCCUGGCUCAGAACGAACGCUGGCGGCAGGCUUAACACAUGCAAGUCGAGCGCCCCGCAAGGGGAGCGGCAGACGGGUGAGUAACGCGUGGGAAUCUACCCAUCUCUACGGAACAACUCCGGGAAACUGGAGCUAAUACCGUAUACGUCCUUCGGGAGAAAGAUUUAUCGGAGAUGGAUGAGCCCGCGUUGGAUUAGCUAGUUGGUGGGGUAAUGGCCUACCAAGGCGACGAUCCAUAGCUGGUCUGAGAGGAUGAUCAGCCACACUGGGACUGAGACACGGCCCAGACUCCUACGGGAGGCAGCAGUGGGGAAUAUUGGACAAUGGGCGAAAGCCUGAUCCAGCCAUGCCGCGUGAGUGAUGAAGGCCCUAGGGUUGUAAAGCUCUUUCAACGGUGAAGAUAAUGACGGUAACCGUAGAAGAAGCCCCGGCUAACUUCGUGCCAGCAGCCGCGGUAAUACGAAGGGGGCUAGCGUUGUUCGGAAUUACUGGGCGUAAAGCGCACGUAGGCGGAUACUUAAGUCAGGGGUGAAAUCCCGGGGCUCAACCCCGGAACUGCCUUUGAUACUGGGUAUCUGGAGUCCGGAAGAGGUGAGUGGAAUUCCGAGUGUAGAGGUGAAAUUCGUAGAUAUUCGGAGGAACAUCACAGUGGCGAAGGCGGCUACACUGGUCCCGG